GUGUUGCCCCAGCACAGGUACUAAAACUGGAACAAUUACAGAGACUUUAGCAUGGCCCCUGCACACGGAUGACAUGCAAACUCGUGAAGUGCUCCAUAUUUUU
ensembl:snRNA U6 U6 spliceosomal RNA